rnacentral:rRNA from 1 species
UACGGGGGGAGCAAGCGUUGUUCGGAUUUACUGGGCGUAAAGGGCGCGUAGGCGGCCAGCACAGGUUAGUUGUGAAAUCUCCGAGCUUAACUCGGAAAGGUCAACUGAUACUGUGCGGCUAGAGUGCAGAAGGGGCAACUGGAAUUCUUGGUGUAGCGGUGAAAUGCGUAGAUAUCAAGAGGAACACCUGCGGCGAAGGCGGGUUGCUGGGCUGACACUGACGCUGAUGCGCGAAAGCUAGGGGAGCGAACGGG